rnacentral:rRNA from 1 species
UACGUAGGGGGCAAGCGUUGUCCGGAAUCAUUGGGCGUAAAGCGCGCGUAGGCGGCUAGAUCAGUCUGCUGUAAAAGUCAAAGGCUCAACCGUUGAAAGCCGGUGGAUACUGUCUAGCUAGAGUCCGGAAGAGGCGAGUGGAAUUCCUGGUGUAGCGGUGGAAUGCGCAGAUAUCAGGAGGAACACCGAUGGCGAAGGCAGGUCUCUGGGCCACUACUGACGCUGAGAAGCGAAAGCAUGGGGAGCGAACAGG